rnacentral:rRNA from 1 species
UACGUAGGUGACAAGCGUUGUCCGGAUUUACUGGGCGUAAAGAGCGCGCAGGCGGUCGAUCAAGUCGAGUGUGAAAGCCCCCGGCUCAACUGGGGAGGGUCAUUCGAUACUGAUCGACUCGAAGGCAGGAGAGGGUAGUGGAAUUCCCGGUGUAGUGGUGAAAUGCGUAGAUAUCGGGAGGAACACCAGUGGCGAAGGCGACUACCUGGCCUGUUCUUGACGCUGAGGCGCGAAAGCUAGGGGAGCGGACAGG